rnacentral:rRNA from 1 species
UCACCAAUACCCGAAACCAGACGAUCUAGUUAUGAGAAUUAAAUAGAAAAAAUCAGUGAAUGUUGAAAAAUCCUUGAAAUACUUGUAAUUAGCAGCGAAAAACUAAUCGAGUUUGGAUAUAGCUGGUUUUCUAAGAAAACUAUAUAAGUAGUACUUAUUAAAUUAAAGCCAGACUUCAAAGGAAAAUCUUUUUAGUCAAAAGGAAAAAAAUCCUAAUCAGAAACUAACAGGCAAAAUAGAUUAACAAAACCUAUUAAAUAAUAAAAACAACAAAAGAAUAGGAACAGAAACAUCCACAUCCCAAAAAGUACGUAAUAGUAAAUUUGACAAACUAAUUUAAAAAUCAAUUAAGCUAAAAAAUCUGAAAGUUCUGAGA